GACGAACGCUGGCGGCGUGCUUAACACAUGCAAGUCGAGCGGUAAGGCCCUUUCGGGGGUACACGAGCGGCGAACGGGUGAGUAACACGUGGGUGACCUGCCCUCAGCUCUGGGAUAAGCCUGGGGAAACCGGGUCUAAUACCGGAUAUGACUCCAUGACGCAUGUUGUGGGGUGGAAAGCCUUGUGCGGCUGAGGAUGGGCCCGCGGCCUAUCAGCUUGUUGGUGGGGUGAUGGCCUACCAAGGCGACGACGGGUAGCCGGCCUGAGAGGGCGACCGGCCACACUGGGACUGAGACACGGCCCAGACUCCUACGGGAGGCAGCAGGUGGGGAAUCCUGCGCAAUGGGCGAAAGCCUGACGCAGCGACGCCGCGUGAGGGAUGAC
rnacentral:rRNA from 1 species